rnacentral:rRNA from 1 species
AUUGAACGCUGGCGGCAUGCCUUACACAUGCAAGUCGAACGGCAGCACGGGAGCAAUCCUGGUGGCGAGUGGCGAACGGGUGAGUAAUAUAUCGGAACGUGCCCAGUCGUGGGGGAUAACGUAGCGAAAGCUACGCUAAUACCGCAUACGAUCUACGGAUGAAAGCGGGGGAUCGCAAGACCUCGCGGGACUGGAGCGGCCGAUAUCAGAUUAGCUAGUUGGGGGGGUAAAGGCCCACCAAGGCGACGAUCUGUAGCUGGUCUGAGAGGACGACCAGCCACACUGGAACUGAGACACGGUCCAGACUCCUACGGGAGGCAGCAGUGGGGAAUUUUGGACAAUGGCGCAAGCCUGAUCCAGCAAUGCCGCGUGCAGGAUGAAGGCCUUCGGGUUGUAAACUGCUUUUGUACGGAACGAAACGGUCCUUUCUAAUACAAGGGGCUAAUGACGGUACCGUAAGAAUAAGCACCGGCUAACUACGUGCCAGCAGCCGCCGUAA